AAUAACGUAGUCAUGUUUCUGAAAAGAAUCCUCCCGCGAUACCGUUCUAUAGUGAGCAGAGUGUCGGUGCCUGACCACCUAUUCGGUGUGUCCACGGAGGAGGUGGCCGAUGGACUCGUUCUCGGUUCUCUAGCUCGCAGCAUUCUUUUAGAACUUGUUCGAUCACUUCUUCGGCCUGUAGUAGAACGGCCUCUACCGGCCCUGCCACCACUCGUACCGCUGCAGGUACGACUCCCCGCGGUAGUCGUACCGGCGGAGACGGCGGCGGUGGCUCUACUCAGAAGAGUACCCGCAGGCGUUCCUGUAGACCAAGUAUUUUCUGCUCGAGUUCUGAUACGUUCGUAAGGAUCACCGACGACUCUUUUGCUUCUUGUUUCUGAACGAUGACUUCCACACCCGUCUCGUUCAUUCUCUACAUCGUAUACCGUAACUCCUAACGGAACUACUUAAAUACCACGUACACCCUUCGGUCUCGGCCAGAGCUGCCAACGAAUUUGAUUUUCGGGCGGUAGCGUAACGGUCGGUUUAGGCGCUAGAGUUUCGUUCUCAUCUUCUCCACUCGUUGUCCUUGUGUGCGAUAUUGAACUAGUGGCGGCUAAGGAGGUCGACGUAACUGCUCUACUUAAGGAUGUGCCUUCUAUAAGCGUCGGUGAGUCGAUCGUUGUAACUACUCCGUCUCGAACACCCUAAACGAUUCCGAUUUGUUCUCAACUAACGCUACCACCUACAGUUGAGGUCUCUACCAGGAACGUUCCACUAUACACAGCAACCGUACCCGCCAGAUCCGUUCUGAUGAGAACGUUCCUUCCGAAUACUUUCAUUCCUUCUGUUACACUUAUUUAAAAGAACAACACGUACCCAGUGGCAGAGUGUCAGGAAAAGGUUCUAUCUCUACGAGUUCCUGUACUAAUCGGUUGAAAACCCAUAGCUGAGAGACUCUUUUACGAACUUUCUAGAACUUCCCUUCCUUCACGUUUAUCUUUUAGAGAGACUCAUAGAGUGUUUCCUCAAUAACCUAUUCUCCAUGAAGCAACAAGAACUACUGAACACCUGGUAUCUACGCACGUUCACCUAGUUUUUAUAACGAAAAGGAUCAUGUUUAUUGUUUCCGUCGGCUUAUUAUCAUUGUUGUGCUCUACGACCGAACCAACUUGUUACGUGAUUACUUAGUGAACAGAUAGUGGAAUUCGUUAACGUUGGUUUACUACGGUGUUUUAACGAUGAUUACUUCUCAUCCUUUUGUGUAGUUCUGUACCUAUUACUAUUCCUGUACUUUUGUUACCAGGUGUUUUAUCAUUUCUUCACACCCCCAGAUGGCAACCGACAUGAGUGAUAUCCUCCGUACGAAAGGUGGUUUUUCCAAUGUCUCACCCUUUCAUAGAUAUUAGUUUAGGGGAGUCUCGAUCUUCAGUUGGGAUCGGAACUUCGUUACUCCUCCUAUCAAUGAGAUUCGAUGUUAGUGAACGGUAGAGUAGACUUCAGUACGAAAAACAUAGAUUCGUAGAAAGGACUCCUAAAACUUUAGUUUUCCUCUGCAGACUAUCUCUCUACCUAUCGUCUCCCCAAACAAUCUCGGUGCCGUCCCCACUCGUAACUCCUACACCCGUUUCCAAUGAAAUUACUCGACUAGUUGUCUUCGUACUAAGUCGGUAGUUCUCACUUGUAUCUUCCUUAACAAUCCUCGACAUCUCAGGUACUACAACACGCACUACAGUACUAGAGCUAAAGAUCCCCACUUUUAAAACAAAUGAACCGUGUUCUAUUACACUGAUCACAGUCUCUCCUCUGGAAAGCGGUACAUCGUAUGGUACCAUCGCUCACGGUUUCAUAUCCGUACCUGACCUUGGUACAGGCCAGUAAUUGGUACAAACCACUCUUUGGUAACCUCGGUAGUAGAAGCCAAACAAGUGGACUAUAUUCUUACGAGUCUCGGAACCUAGAUCUCUUACGUGUCAAAGUUCAGUGUGUUUUCCUAUAGUUGUUGUAUCCUAACAACGCGGUGAACUUCAUACACUUAAAAAGACUAGGAGCUCCUAUAAGUGUAUAAAUAUUUGAAGGAUCUAGGUAUCCCUUUAAUGUUCCGAACGCGUGAAACUUGUAAUCUCUGUCAAUAUAAUGUCUUGACGGUUGACUCUAAACAUUUGAGUUCUCAAAUGUGUCAGACGCAACAUGGUCUUUAUCAAGGAUACUUAUGAAACUGAACAUAUCGGGGUCCCUUACGAACCACGUUUGUGAAACAGACGGGUACGACAAGUGUGGAAACUGACUAGGAUCACUAACAUGGCUCUUUCAACGACUCGAUGUGUACCGGACCAGAUCGGCAACCAGUACCAGUUCUCCACACUUCCACGGUCUUCCUUAGCCGUUUGACUUUCUCGACGUUUAUGAUCUCCAGCACCUGUAGUCUGCUUGAUCGACGUUUCGUUAAUUUCUCGAUCCACUCGAACACGUGGACUCUUUUGACUCGCACCAAUGUUUUCCCCGGUGGUUCGUCUUUACGUCCUAUGAGACACUACGGCACACGCACCAAGUGAACUCACCGAUGUACAACAAAGGAGAGGGGGAGGGGACAACUCCUCAGACUGCAACCUACCUGCGGAACCUCUCUAAGGACCGACCCAACCCCUAGACUACGUAAACCAGUUCGAAAUGAAUGCCGUGUCGCUUUAUUUCCUUCUUCCAUUUUAGUACCUUUAUGAUCCCGGUGAAGGGUUGGAGUACGUCGAAGCAGAACCUUGGUCGAGAAUAUAGCCCCUCUUCAACCGCAAGUUUUGCCCCCGUAAGGGUUUAGAGUUCUUAGACCUAUAAACCAAAGACCUCGUUGACUCUCUCAACUUUAAACUCCUACCGUGGAGUGGGGUCGACCGUUACUAUCUAUAGUCAAACACGCUUAACCGUAGUCCUUAAUAACCUCAGUUGGUCGAAGGUUUCGAGUUCGUCUAGAGUGAACCAGGGAUACCAGUUCACCGCUUCGAACGAUACGACGUUUCACUUCACCUGCGGGUGGGGUUGUCAGGGCACGACGCUGACAAGUUAGUUGCCUCGAUGGUACUAGACCCCCUGCAGCAGCAGGUUCACCUUCUUCGUUGCCUCCUUAGUAGUAGAGAGGUAGGACUCGGACGUCGUCGCCCUCCCUCGAGUCUUAGCCACCACUGUUGUUUGCAGUCGGUUCUGCUAGACGAAAUGUGAAUAUUAAGCACGACUGACUUAAACUCAGAGGACAGUCAUGAUGCUACAUUGUGAGACGUCCAAGUCCACGCCCACGUCCUUUUCUCCUUCUAUGUUUAUGUCAGUCCUACCAACUGUCGACGUUCUAUGCGGUCUAACAAAGACAAGUCGACCCGCACGGCCUCUUCUCCUUCUAUGUUUACCUCAUGAGUCCUACCCACUGUACUGGGUGCACGUCGUGUAAGACCUUCUUAAUUGCCAACCCGCUUGUGACAGAGAUAACAUCAUCUACUUCGUUGGCCUCCCCCUCCUUAGUAGUAGAGAGGCAGGGCUCGUACGUCGUCGCCCCCUCUGGAGGAGGAGCGUCAGCGUCCGCCACCAGGACUGGUGCUCCUCGCUGUCGGUUCUGGGAGUGUAUUCCGAGACGAAACCACCUUCUACUAAAGACGAGGGCGACUGCUACUGCGAACUACUAACCAGCUACGACGUGGGAAGCAAGAACGACUAACAGGCGUGUCCAGCUGCGGAAGCGAGACGCCACUUCUUCCACAACGAGCAAACGUGAACAACGACCACUACUAUCCGGGUAGAUAAAGGUGAAUAGACGACCUGUACCUCGAGGAGUUGGAGCGUAGAAGGCGGCGGUUCCUUACUAGAUCUCACUUAGACUUCGGAGCUUAAGGCAAAGGCUCGGUCCUCUCUCGAUCAGGCGCCACGGAGACUAUCAGUUUCACGGAGACUUUGCACUUGACACUUCACUAGUACGACUAAUGACGACCCCUCUUCUGCACCCUUUACGUUACCUGACCUUUUGUGCAAGUCGAUAGUUCGAUGUAUACGUAUGUCACUUCGACGUUAACCGGUAGUGCAAGUCGAUAGGUUCAAGAGACGAUCGACGGCCGGAGAUUAUACCACGUUCCACUUCGACUCUCCCUAGAACGGUAAAGAGGUGACGCUUCCCCUCUCCUUGUGUAACAAGAACCCCGAAGUUACAUUGUCUCCGCUCAUCGUUCGUCGUUGAGGUAAAACUCUAGAGUCUUCCGCAAAAGUUCAACGUUAACAACCGGGUCUACUUCUUGGCCAAGAACCUCUUGUGGCACCUUACCUGACCUACUAGUUGGACUGCUCUUCCGGACGUUAAAACUUAUGUCUGAACGAGACGAAAGAUCACGCAUGAGACAAAAAGAUGUCUACUUAAUAAUGAGAGGUAAACAACGACGGUGAAACAGACGCGAACAAACAUUUGUCUCUUACUACUAAAGUAGACAACAAUAGGUACAAGACGUUUGAACUCAACUACUUUGUGGUCGAAUCUAACGAGUCAAAUUUCGUCGACGACGCACGAACCUAACCUAACCUAAGUCG
rnacentral:rRNA from 1 species